rnacentral:rRNA from 1 species
GAUGAACGCUGGCGGCGUGCCUAAUACAUGCAAGUCGAGCGAACAGAUGAGGAGCUUGCUCCUUUGACGUUAGCGGCGGACGGGUGAGUAACACGUGGAUAACCUACCUAUAAGACUGGGAUAACUUCGGGAAACCGGAGCUAAUACCGGAUAAUAUAUUGAACCGCAUGGUUCAAUAGUGAAAGACGGUUUUGCUGUCUCUUAUAGCUGGAUCCGCGCCGCAUUAGCUAGUUGGUAAGGUAACGGCUUACCAAGGCUACGAUGCGUAGCCGACCUGAGAGGCUGAUCGGCCACACGGGAACGGAGACACGGUCCAGACGACUAAGGGAGGCAGCAGUAGGGAAUCUGCGGCAAUGGGCGAAAGCCUGACGGAGCAACGCCGCGUGAGUGAUGAAGGUCUUCGGAUCGUAAAACUCUGUUAUUAGGGAAGAACAAAUGUGUAAGUAACUAUGCACGUCUUGACGGUACCUAAUCAAAAAGCCACGGCUAACUACGUG